rnacentral:rRNA from 1 species
CGUCACAGCCAUGUCACCCUGCAGCCCAAGACCGGUUACUCACUGAAGCUAAGCAGGGUUGAGCCUGGUCAGUACUUGGAUGGUGGGAGACCACUAGGGAACACUAGGUUGCUGUUGGAA